rnacentral:rRNA from 1 species
AGCUCAAAUUUGAAAUCUAGCACUUUCAGUGUUCGAGUUGUAAUUUGAAGAAGGUAACUUUGGUUUUGGCUCUUGUCUAUGUUCCUUGGAACAGGACGUCACAGAGGGUGAGAAUCCCGUGCGAUGAGAUGCCCAAUUCCAUGUAAAGUGCUUUCGAAGAGUCGAGUUGUUUGGGAAUGCAGCUCUAAGUGGGUGGUAAAUUCCAUCUAAAGCUAAAUAUUGGCGAGAGACCGAUAGCGAACAAGUACAGUGAUGGAAAGAUGAAAAGAACUUUGAAAAGAGAGUGAAAAAGUACGUGAAAUUGUUGAAAGGGAAGGGCUUGAGAUCAGACUUGGUAUUUUGCGUUCCCUUCCUUUUUGGUUGGGUUCCUCGCAGUUUACUGGGCCAGCAUCGGUUUGGAUGGUAGGAUAAUGACAUUGGAAUGUAGCUUUACUUCGGUGAAGUGUUAUAGACUUUGUUGAUACUGCCUAUCUAGACCGAGGACUGCGUCUUUGACUAGGAUGCUGGCGUAAUGAUCUUAAGCCGC